rnacentral:rRNA from 1 species
AUUGAACGCUGGCGGCAGGCCUAACACAUGCAAGUCGAGCGCGCGGCGGACGGGGGAGUAAAGUAUAGGGAUCUGUCCGAGAGAGAGGGAUAACUACUGGAAACAGUAUCUAAUACAGCAUAAUACCGGAUGAACCCAUAUGGGAUUAGCUAGUAGGUGGGGGACAGGCGCACCUAGGCGACGAUCCCUAGCUGGUCUGAGAGGAUGACCAGCCACACUGGAACUGAGACACGGCCCAGACUCCUACGGGAGGCAGCAGUGGGGAAUAUUGCACAAUGGGCGCAAGCCUGAUGCAGCCAUGCCGCGUGUAUGAAGAAGGCCCUCGGGUUGUAAAGUACUUUCAGUGAGGAGGCGUUACCCACAGAAGAAGCACCGGCUAACUCCGUGCCAGCAGCCGCGGUAAUUC